rnacentral:rRNA from 1 species
GACGAACGCUGGCGGCGUGCUUAACACAUGCAAGUCGAACGGAAGGGCCCUGCUUUUGUGGGGUGCUCGAGUGGCGAACGGGUGAGUAACACGUGAGUAACCUGCCCUUGACUUUGGGAUAACUUCAGGAAACUGGGGCUAAUACCGGAUAGGAGCUCCUGCUGCAUGGUGGGGGUUAGAAAGUUUCGGCGGUUGGGGAUGGACUCGCGGCUUAUCAGCUUGUUGGUGGGGUAGUGGCUUACCAAGGCUUUGACGGGUAGCCGGCCUGAGAGGGUGACCGGCCACAUUGGGACUGAGAUACGGCCCAGACUCCUACGGGAGGCAGCAGUGGGGAAUAUUGCACAAUGGGCGGAAGCCUGAUGCAGCAACGCCGCGUGCGGGAUGACGGCCUUCGGGUUGUAAACCGCUUUCGCCUGUGACGAAGCGUGAGUGACGGUAAUGGGUAAAGAAGCACCGGCUAACUACGUG